GGAUUCCCUUAGUACUGCGAGUGACCGGGAUGAGCUCAAAUUUAAAAUCUGGCGGUCUUGCCGUCCGAGUUGUAAUCUGGAGAAGCGUUUUCCGCGUCAGACCGUGUACAAGUCUCUUGGAAUAGAGCGUCAUAGAGGGUGAGAAUCCCGUCCAUGACACGGACUCCUGAUGCUUUGUGAUACGCUCUCAAAGAGUCGAGUUGUUUGGGAAUGCAGCUCAAAAUGGGUGGUAAAUUCCAUCUAAAGCUAAAUAUUGGCGAGAGACCGAUAGCGAACAAGUACCGUGAGGGAAAGAUGAAAAGCACUUUGGAAAGAGAGUUAAACAGUACGUGAAAUUGUUGAAAGGGAAACGCUUGAAGUCAGUCGCGUCGUACGGAGCUCAGCCUGGCUUUUGCCAGGUGUAUUCUCCGUGUCGAUGGGUCAACAUCAAUUUUGACCGGUGGAGAAGGGCUCAGGGAAUGUAGCGUCGUUUCGGCGACGUGUUAUAGCCUUGGGUCGUAUGCAUCGGUUGGGAUUGAGGACCGCAGCACGCCCUUGUGGCCGAGGGUUCGCCCUACGUUCGUGCUUAGGAUGUUGGCAUAAUGGCUUUAAGCGACCCGUCUUGAAACACGGACCAAGGAGUCUAACAUGCCUGCGAGUGUUCGGGUGGAAAACCCUUGCGCGUAAUGAAAGUGAAAGUUGGGAUCCUCCGCAAGGGGGUGCACCGACGCCCGGCCCAGACGUUCUCUGACGGUGCUGCGGUAGAGCAUGUAUGUUGGGACCCGAAAGAUGGUGAACUAUGCCUGAAUAGGGUGAAGCCAGAGGAAACUCUGGUGGAGGCUCGUAGCGAUUCUGACGUGCAAAUCGAUCGUCAAAUUUGGG
rnacentral:rRNA from 1 species